UACGAAGGGGGCAAGCGUUGUUCGGAUUUACUGGGCGUAAAGGGCGCGCAGGCGGCGGACCAAGUCAGGCGUGAAAGCCCCGGGCUUAACCUGGGAAUUGCGUCUGGGACUGGUACGCUAGAGUUCGGGAGAGGAGAGUGGAAUUCCCAGUGUAGAGGUGAAAUUCGUAGAUAUUGGGAAGAACACCGGUGGCGAAGGCGGCUCUCUGGACCGAGACUGACGCUGAGGCGCGAAAGCGUGGGGAGCAAACAGG
rnacentral:rRNA from 1 species